UACGGGGGGGGCAAGCGUUGUUCGGAAUUACUGGGCGUAAAGGGCUCGUAGGCGGCCAACUAAGUCAGACGUGAAAUCCCUCGGCUUAACCGGGGAACUGCGUCUGAUACUGGAUGGCUUGAGUUUGGGAGAGGGAUGCGGAAUUCCCGGUGGAGCGGUGAAAUGCGUUGAUAUCCUAAGGAACACCGGUGGCGAAAGCGGCGUACUGGGUCUUAUCUGACGCUGAGGCACGAAAGCUAGGGUAGCGAACGGG
rnacentral:rRNA from 1 species